CGACUCCUGACAGAAGGAUGAUGCACUCAGGGUGUAGAAUGAGACACAGAUUUUCGGAAAUGGUUGUCAUUGGGAUAAGUGGAUGACGGAAACUGGGAGGAUGAGGAUGUGUUUGACAAGAGGCAGCACAACAUAACAAAAGGAACUCUGGACUGGGAAUCGGGAGACUUGGAUUUCAACCACUUAACAGUUUCUAGAGAACCACAGGACAUCAGAGAAAGG